rfam:Schizophyllum commune H4-8 unplaced genomic scaffold SCHCOscaffold_3, whole genome shotgun sequence.
UCCUCGGUAGUAUAUCGGCUAGUACACCCGCCUGUCAAUCAGGCGGACGCGGGAGAGCGGGGUUCGACUCCCCGCCGAGGAG